AGAGGCUAUAUUAUACAAUUAUGGUAAAAAGGCAGUUAAAUAUUUAAACUAUAAGUUUAUUUACUAUUUAUAUAAGGGUAAAAUCUAAAUAUAAAUAAAUAAUUCAAUAUAAACUCAUUGUAUGAUAUAUUGACUCUGCUAAAUCCUUGAGGGAAACUGGGAUUAGAUACCCCAUUAUUCUUGGAAGUAAAUUAACGUAAGUUUACCGGAGUACUAUGAAUCUAUAAUCAUUUAAAACUCAAAGGGCUUGGCGGUGUUUUAGACCUCUCAGGGGAACCUGUCUCAUAAUCGAUAAUCCACGUUAGACCUAACCUUUUUUUGCAAUUUCAGUUUGUAUACCGUCGUCGUCAGGUAACUUUUAAAAAAUAAGAAGUUAACAACAAAAUAUAAUUAAAUUUAAACGUCAGAUCAAGGUGCAGCCCAUAUAAGGGUGAGGAUGGGUUACAAUUAUAAAUUAUAACUACGAAUAGAAAAUUGAAACAUUUACUCUGAAGGAGGACUUGAAAGUAAAAUAAAUUUAUACACACAAUUUGAAUAUGGCUCU
rnacentral:rRNA from 1 species